UGAGCAAUCUGCCCUUCUCUUUGGAAUAAGCGUUGGAAACGACGUCUAAUGCCGAAUACGACCUCCUUUCGCAUGAUCGGAGGUGGAAAGCUCCGGCGGAGAAGGAUGAGCUCGCGGCCUAUCAGCUAGUUGGUGUGGGUAACGGCCCACCAAGGCGACGACGGGUAGCCGGCCUGAGAGGGUGACCGGCCACACUGGGACUGAGACACGGCCCAGACUCCUACGGGAGCAGCAGG
rnacentral:rRNA from 1 species